rnacentral:rRNA from 1 species
GCCAGACUCCUACGGGAGGCAGCAGUGGGGGAUAUUGCACAAUGGGGGGAACCCUGAUGCAGCGACGCCGCGUGGGUGAAGAAGCGCCUCGGCGCGUAAAGCCCUGUCAGCAGGGAAGAAAAUGACGGUACCUGAAGAAGAAGCCCCGGCUAACUACGUGCCAGCAGCCGCGGUAAUACGUAGGGGGCAAGCGUUGUCCGGAAUGACUGGGCGUAAAGGGUGUGUAGGCGGUUUAUUAAGUUAGAAGUGAAAUACCUAGGGCUUAACCCAGGUGCUGCUUCUAAAACUGAUAGACUUGAGUGCAGUAGAGGAAAGUGGAAUUCCUAGUGUAGCGGUGGAAUGCGUAGAUAUUAGGAGGAACAUCAGUGGCGAAGGCGACUUUCUGGACUGUAACUGACGCUGAGGCACGAAAGUGUGGGGAGCAAACAGGAUUAGAUACCCCUGUAA